UUAAAUAAUUUAGCUUUUCGCUCAGACUGCAAUCUUCAUACAGCGUUCAAGGUGUCUUCGGCGGGCGCGGACCCGGGGACGGAAGCCCCCCGGCGGCCUUGCGGCGGGCCCGCCGAAGCAACAAGGUACGAUAAACAUGGGUGGGAGGUUGGACCCAGAGGGCCCUCACUCGGUAAUGAUCCUUCCGCAGGUUCACCUACGGAAA
rnacentral:misc_RNA from 1 species